ACCGCAUACGUCCUACGGGAGAAAGCACGGGGAUCUUCGGACCUUGCGCUAUCGGAUGAGCCCAUGUCGGAUUAGCUUGUUGGUGAGGUAAUGGCUCACCAAGGCGACGAUCCGUAGCUGGUCUGAGAGGAUGAUCAGCCACACUGGGACUGAGACACGGCCCAGACUCCUACGGGAGGCAGCAGUGGGGAAUAUUGGACAAUGGGCGAAAGCCUGAUCCAGCCAUGCCGCGUGUGUGAAGAAGGCCUUCGGGUUGUAAAGCACUUUCAGCGAGGAAGAACGCCUUGGGAUUAAUACUCCCGAGGAAAGACAUCACUCGCAGAAGAAGCACCGGCUAACUCCGUGCCAGCAGCCGCGGUAAUACAGAGGGUGCAAGCGUUAAUCGGAAUUACUGGGCGUAAAGCGCGCGUAGGUGGUUUGUUAAGUUGAAUGUGAAAUCCCCGGGCUCAACCUGGGAACUGCAUCCAAAACUGGCAAGCUAGAGUAUGGUAGAGGGUAGUGGAAUUUCCUGUGUAGCGGUGAAAUGCGUAGAUAUAGGAAGGCNCACNAGUUGGGCGCAGGCGACUACCUGGACUGAUACUGACACUGAGGUGCGAAAGCGUGGGGNAGCAAACAGGAUUAGAUACCCUGGUAGUCCACGCCGUAAACGAUGUCAACUAGCCGUUGGGAGUCUUGAACUCUUAGUGGCGCAGCUAACGCAUUAAGUUGACCGCCUGGGGAGUACGGCCGCAAGGUUAAAACUCAAAUGAAUUGACGGGGGCCCGCACAAGCGGUGGAGCAUGUGGUUUAAUUCGAUGCAACGCGAAGAACCNUUACCUGGUCUUGNACAUNAUCUAGAAUCCUNGCAGAGAUGCNGGGANGUGCCUUCGGGAAUUAGAAUACAGGUNGCUGCAUNGGCUNGUCGUCANGCNUCGUGUCGUGANGAUGUUGGGUUAAGUCCCGCAACNGAGNCGCAACCNCUUGUCCUUAGUUACCAGCGGGUUAAGCCGGGAACUCUAAGGAUACUGCCNAGUGNACAAACUGGAGGAAGGCGGGGACGANCGNUCAAGUNCAUCAUNGGCCCUUACGACCAGGGCUACACACGUGCUACAAUNGGUAGNGUACAGAGGGNCAGCUACACAGCGAUGUGAUGCGAAUCUCAAAAAGCCUAUCGUAGUCCAGAUUGGAGUCUGCAACUCGACUCCAUGAAGUAGGAAUCGCUAGUAAUCGCGGAUCAGAAUGCCGCGGUGAAUACGUUCCCGGGCCUUGUACACACCGCCCGUCACACCAUGGGAGUUGAUUGCACCAGAAGUGGAUAGCUUAACCUUCGGGGGAGCGUUCACCACGGUGUGGUUGAUGACUGGGGUGAAGUCGUAACAAGGGUAACCA
rnacentral:rRNA from 1 species